UACGAGGGGUGCAAGCGUUGCUCGGAAUUAUUGGGCGUAAAGAGCUCGUAGGCGGCCUGUUGCGUCCGCUGUGAAAUCCCAGGGCUCAACCCUGGGCGUGCAGUGGAUACGGGCAGGCUGGAGGCAGGCAGGGGAGAACGGAAUUCCCGGUGUAGCGGUGAAAUGCGUAGAGAUCGGAAAGAACACCAACGGCGAAAGCACUCUGCUGGGCCGACACUGACACUGAGAGACGAAAGCUAGGGGAGCGAAUGGG
rnacentral:rRNA from 1 species